rnacentral:lncRNA from 1 species
UUUUUAAACUUUUUCUCCUUUUAUUUAAUUAUUGUUACACAUACACUGCUUAGUCUUUAUAAUAUACAUCACAUGAUAUAUAUAAAUAUAUAAAUAUUUAUAUAUGAUUUGACAGUGUCUUUGAGCUACAACAUUAUACCAAUUUUAUAGAUGAACAAGGUGCAGUAAGGAAGUAGCCAAGUAUACCUUGCUUUGAACUCUAAUUUCAGUGGCCAUGUCAUCAACUGAUCCUCUGGCAAUCCUACCCUUUUCUCUGGUCAGAGCUACAGAAGAAGUGAACAUGCAUGAGGUUUCAUACAUGGCUCUGGAAAGCUCUCUCUCUCUCUCUCUCUCUCUCUCUCUCUCUCUCUCUCUCACACACACACACACACACACACACACACAUACACAGACACACACGCACACGCACACUGCAUACAUUUUGUAUCCACCAAUCAAGUACUCCAGCAUGGUGGGGUCGGGGUUUGACACUGUUAAAUAAAGUUUUCUGGUAUACUCAGACAAUGCUUCCCUCUAAGGAUUGGCUCUCCUUCAAGAUUUCUCUCUGCUGUGUCUCUUUUUCAGGUGAUCUAGUAAAAGCAACAAGUUCUAAAUUCCAUGCAAUGCUGGGUUUUCUCAAAAUAUAUUUUGCUACAGUAAUUGAAAACGAUACAAUAUACCCUGGGAAAACUGAAUCACUUUCUAAAAUGAGGUAA